GACCGCUUAUUUGGCUUAAGUGGUUAGAGCGUCCACUUCGGAAGCGGGAGGUUGCGGGAUCUAACCCUGUCCGGGUCA